rnacentral:rRNA from 1 species
GAAUAUUGGACAAUGGGCGCAAGCCUGAUCCAGCAAUACCGCGUGUGUGAAGAAGGCCUGAGGGCUGUAAAGCACUUUCAAUUGGGAGGAAAACCUGCCGGCCAAUACCCGGCAGCUUGACAUUACCUUUAGAAGAAGCACCGGCUAACUCCGUGCCAGCAGCCGCGGUAAUACGGAGGGUGCAAGCGUUAAUCGGAAUUACUGGGCGUAAAGCGUGCGUAGGCGGUUAUUUAAGUCAGAUGUGAAAGCCCCGGGCUUAACCUGGGAACUGCAUUUGAUACUGGGUAACUAGAGUUUAAUAGAGGAGAGUGGAAUUUCAGGKGUAGCGGWGAAWUGCGUUGAGAUCUGAAGGAACACCAGU